AUGCGACAGUUGCAUCGUAGCAACAACUUACCGUGGCUGCUGAUCGGUGAUCUGAAUGAGAUCCAAUAUCUACAUGAGAAGGAGGGUGGAAAUCCAAGACCAAUCCAGUACAUGCAGGCUUUUCAAGAGGCAAUAGAUGACUGUGAAUUGCAUGACAUGGGGUAUAUUGGUGAUCCCUUCACAUGGCAUAGAGGCAGAAUACGUGAAAGACUAGACAGGGGACUAGCCAAUGAUGGCUGGUCGGUCUUGUUCCCUGAUGCAGCCUUACAAAAUUUGGAAUAUAAUCACUCUGAUCAUCGGCCCCUAUGUGUGGAUACAGACUAUUUUUCUCACAAUCAGAUGGGAGGAAAUAAUGCACAGGUCAAGCGUUUUGAGGCAAGAUGGUUGAGGGAAGAAAGCUUUAAUGAUACUGUUCUUGAUGCUUGGACAAAUGUAGGUGCUGAUCCUAAUGCUACAAGUAUUUAUGAGAAGCUCAAUAAAAUGCAUGCAAUAUUCCACGAUUGGGACCAGCGUGUCCUUAAGAAACAAAAAAAAAAAAGGUUGCGCAAGGCCCAACGUGAGCUUGAGAGAGUCAUGGCUGGUCCUAUGAACGAUGAUAGUGACGUAAAGAGAAGGGAAUUGGCUGAAUUGAUUGAGUACUUGCUUGAGUUGGAGGAGAUUCAAACAAGACAGAGGUCACGGGCGACCUGGCUUACCAGCGGCGACCGUAACACAACGUUUUUUCAGGCCUUUGCCUCGGCAAGGAGGAAAAGGAACUACGUCAAAAAACUGAAAGAUGAAGCAGGGAACUGGCUUGAAGGUAUGCCGGAAUUAAACACUCACAUUCAGAAUUAUUUUACUCACCUGUUUACUUCGGAGGUGCAGCAUACAAAUCCAAAUCUUUUACAAAAGGUUCAAACGCAAAGUAACUGA
rnacentral:rRNA from 1 species